rnacentral:misc_RNA from 1 species
UUUCCGUAGGUGAACCUGCGGAAGGAUCAUUAACGAGUGCGGGUCUCCUCGCGAGCCCAACCUCCCAACCCUUUGUUUACCGAACCUUUGUUGCUUCGGCGGACCCGCUUCACGGCCGCCGGGGGACCUUCCGUCCCCUGGCCCGCGUCCGCCGGUGGCCCCAACAUUUAAUCCUGAAAAUCGUGUCUUCCAGACCUGAGUCGAGAUAUUAAAUCAAAAUAAAAACUUUCAACAACGGAUCUCUGGGUUCUGGCAUCGAUGAAGAACGCAGC